UUUCAUUAAAAGUAAAGGUAAAAGAAUUUUAUAUAAAUAUAACUGUGUUUUUUUAUUUCUGAAGUAAGCUAAAACAAUGUGUUGAUCUUGAUCGUGGUGGUGGAAGACGAAGAUGAAGAGGAAAAGCCACAAGACUGGAAAGAAGUAGAAAGAUGAAGGGCGCGUUGAGUAACGGCACCACAAGUCUCCCUCAUUCCUCUCAACCAACCAUCUUCUGCCACUUCUUCUUCUUGCUUCCAGAACUUUUUCGAUUGCGAACCUCCCAACACGUCUUCAUCGCUAGUUCCGGUCACCGAUGAUUCCUUCGCCGACGACAGAGACUAUAUUCUCAGCCAGGACUUCUUCUGCACUCCGGAUUACAUCACUCCUGACAAUCAGCAUCCUUUGGAUGGCUUUGAUUGUGAUAUGGAUACACCCUACCCCAAAUCGCCUGAGAUCAGUCGUAUUUUAUUGUGCUUUUUGACAAUCUAUUACCGAGUUUUAUGUUUUCGGCAUUCGUAUUUUUUACGAAGAGUCUGAGGAUUAGAAAUCCAUGUACACCUUUGACAUCCUCUGUAUGGGUCACUCCGAUCACUCCUUUUUCUCUGUAUGGGUUCUCUUCAUACAAUAGUACUCUUUUGACAUCGAAGAGCAAGGACUCAACCUUGAUCCCGCAAACCAACAUCCUUCGAAGAAUAACACCACCCCAGCUUCGGUACCCUUUUCCCAAUUUCUCCAAUUCUUUUACAGGAAUAAAUAAAGGAAGGGGCUAGUGCUAAAUGAAUUGAAAAUUGGGUUGAACUAGGUAGAGUAAAUGGGCCAAUGCUGAUCUGGAGUUUGUUAGAUUCGGUUGAGCAUCAUAUUAAUUUGAUUCGGGUACGCCCUCGAUCACCCACCAUCUUCAAAGAUGCGUGUAGGAUUUGUAGCACCUAUGAGUCAUGACAGAGAGUAGGAGGAUCACUUUCUUGGAAAUAGCAAAUUGCUCAACAACCCAUGUUAAUCUGUGAGGUGUUCGAUGUUCAGGGUAUUGAUUUCAUUGGUCCUUUCCCUGUUUCUUUUGGUUUCUCCUACAUUCUUUUAGCUAUUGAUUAUGUUUCGAAAUGGGUGGAAGUGAGAGCCACUAGGACUAAUGAUGCUCGGGUUGUGGUUGAUUUUGUUAAAUCUCACCUCUUCUGCAGGUUUGGAGUCCCCAAAGCAAUUAUUAGUGAUCAAGGCCCCCAUUUUUGUAACAAAUGUAUGUAGGCUUUGCUCAAGAAAUAUGGGUUGUGCACAGAGUCUCUACAUCAUACCACCCCAAAUUAAUGGGUAGACCGAGAUUUCAAACAGGGAAAUAAAGAGAAUUUUAUAGAAGGUUGUCCAGCCCAACAGAAAAGAUUGGAGUAACAGGUUGGAUGGUGCUCUUUGGGCGCAUAGGAAUGCCUACAAAGAACCUAUAGGGAUGUCUCUCUAUUGGGUUGUUUUUGGAAAGACAUGUCAUUUACCUAUAGGGAUAGAGCAUCGAACAUACUGGGUUGUGAAGACUUGCAACUUCUCUAUGGAUUAGGUUGGAGAGGAAAGGAAGUUGCAACUGAAUGAAGUUGAUGAGAUCCGUAUUGAAGCCUAUGAAAACUCAAAGUUCUACAAGGAGAGAACCAAGAAGUUCCAUGACAGCUUGAUAAUUAGAAAGGACUUCGUGGUUGGGCAGAAAGUGUUGUUAUAUAAUUUUAGGCUCGGACUCAUGGGUGGUAAGUUACGAUCAAAGUGGAUUGGACCUCUUAUUGUUACUAAUGUUUAUCCUUAUGGUGUAGUAGAAAUUAAGAAUGAAUCCACAAAAACAGAGCUUCAAGGUCAAUGAGCUUCGGCUGAAGCCUUUCCUCAACAAUCAUUCUUUGCUGGAUACAAUUAUGGACUACUAAAUCUCACUUCUCUUCCCCUUUGACUCGAGGAUUUUCUUUCUCCUUUUCCAUUUUUUUAUUACACUUGUUCAAAUCUUCUGUUUAUGACAUAUUGGGGACAUUGUGUGGUUUAAGUGUGAUCUAUUGGGAGAGAUUAUUUUU